GAGUUUACAACUCCCAAACCCCUGUGAACAUACCACUUGUUGCCUCGGCGGAUCAGCCCGCUCCCGGUAAAACGGGACGGCCCGCCAGAGGACCCCUAAACUCUGUUUCUAUAUGUAACUUCUGAGUAAAACCAUAAAUAAAUCAAAACUUUCAACAACGGAUCUCUUGGUUCUGGCAUCGAUGAAGAACGCAGCAAAAUGCGAUAAGUAAUGUGAAUUGCAGAAUUCAGUGAAUCAUCGAAUCUUUGAACGCACAUUGCGCCCGCCAGUAUUCUGGCGGGCAUGCCUGUUCGAGCGUCAUUUCAACCCUCAAGCACAGCUUGGUGUUGGGACUCGCGUUAAUUCGCGUUCCUCAAAUUGAUUGGCGGUCACGUCGAGCUUCCAUAGCGUAGUAGUAAAACCCUCGUUACUGGUAAUCGUCGCGGCCACGCCGUUAAACCCCAACUUCUGAAUGUUGACCUCGGAUCAGGUAGGAAUACCCGCUGAACU
rnacentral:rRNA from 1 species